rnacentral:rRNA from 1 species
GAUGAACGCUGGCGGCGUGCCUAAUACAUGCAAGUCGAGCGAAUGGAUUAAGAGCUUGCUCUUAUGAAGUUAGCGGCGGACGGGUGAGUAACACGUGGGUAACCUGCCCAUAAGACUGGGAUAACUCCGGGAAACCGGGGCUAAUACCGGAUAACAUUUUGAACCGCAUGGUUCGAAAUUGAAAGGCGGCUUCGGCUGGCACUUAUGGAUGGACCCGCGUCGCAUAGCUAGUUGGUGAGGUAACGGCUCACCAAGGCAACGAUGCGUAGCCGACCUGGGAGGGUGAUCGGCCACACUGGGACUGAGACACGGCCCAGACUCCUACGGGAGGCAGCAGUAGGGAAUCUUCCGCAAUGGACGAAAGUCUGACGGAGCAACGCCGCGUGAGUGAUGAAGGCUUUCGGGUCGUAAAACUCUGUUGUUAGGGAAGAACAAGUGCUAGUUGAAUAAGCUGGCACCUUGACGGUACCUAACCAGAAAGCCACGGCUAACUACGUGCCAGCCGCCGCAGUAA